CAGCCACUGACUCCCUGUGUGUGUGUGUGUGUGUGUGUGUGCGUGUGUGUGUGUGUGAGACCCUGAGCGAGUCGCUUCACCUCCUUGUGCUCCGUCCUUUGGGUGAGACGUCAAACAAACGAGCUCCUAUUGGAAGUGACUCUGCAGCAGCAGCAGCAGCAGUUGUUGAUGAUGCAGAGUUCACCCUCCUAGUCUCUGGAAGUCGCUCUGGGAGAUAAAGCCUCCGCUGAACGACUCGUUUAGUAAUUUAGUUUUGUGAACUAACCUUUUAAUUUCUACAUAAGAACAUCAGAAAGUUUCCAAACGAGAGGAGGCCCCACUCAGCCCAUCUUGUUCGUUUGGUUGUUAGUAGCUUAUUGAUCCCAGAAUCUCAUCAAGCAGCUUCUUGAAGGAUCCCAGGGUGUCGGCUUCAACAACAUUACUGGGGAAUUGGUUCCAGACCCUCACGAUUCUCUGUGUAAAAAAGUGCCUCCUAUUUUCUGUUCUGAAUGCCCCUUUAUCUAAUCUCCAUUUGUGACCCCUGGUGCUUUAUAUAGUGUGUGUGUGAGACAGACAGACAGAUAAUUAUGGGUAAUCUCAGAUACUUUAUAUAUAGAGAGAGAGAGAGAAUUAUGGGUAAUCUCAGAUACUUUAUAUAUAUAGAGAGAAUUAUGGGUAAUCUAAGAUAUUUUUUUGUAUAGGGGGGGAUUAUGGGUAAUCUAAGAUACUUUAUAUAUAUAUAUAGAGAGAGAGAGAGAAUUAUGGGUAAUCUAAGAGAGAUAGAUAGAUAGAUAUUUUGCUUCUAUUUAGAUUAAUUUGCAUCACAGUCUAGAUUAACCCAGGUGUGUCUGUGUGUUUUUGUUUUGUAGGUCAGCCAAUGAAAUGCAAUCUUCACAUGCAGGGGGGGAGCGUCAUCACUUCAGAUCAGCCAAUACUGCUGAGGCUGAGUGACACCCCGGGCCUCCCGAAGAAAGCCCCCUCGACCGCGGACCUUCGCCAGGGGGUGCCUCGCCCCCCCUCCCGGCCUCAGGGGGAGGUGGACCCCGAGACCAUCCUCCGAGCGCUGUUCAAAUCAUCGGGGACCCCGACAGCGAGCGCGCAGCCCACCGCCUUCCAAAUCAAGAUCUAACCAGGGGGGGGCGUCGCUGAGUCGCGCGCAGACCGACAGAGACGUCACGCUGUCUCCCAGUCUAAAUGUGAUCUCACCAGAGAGAGAGACAGACUGGGAGGGGUCUGGUUAUAAUGGAGCUGCCCCCACCCCACCCCUCCCCCCUCCCAGACUCUCCCGCACAGCCCAAUGAUGACAGAAUUAUCCAGGACUAUUAAACACGCCACAGAAGCGAAUUCAGAAACGCUGAAAGAAAUUUCAGGAAUUCAACGGCAAACGUUUCCGCUAGAAGUCUCUCUCAGCGUCUUCAGUGUAAAUUCAACGGCAAACGUUUCCACUAGAAGUCUCUCUCAGCGUCUUCAGUGUAAAUUCAACGGCAAACGUUUCCACUAGAAGUCUCUCUCAGCGUCUUCAGUGUAAAUUCAAUGGCAAACGUUUCCUCUAGAAGUCUCUCUCAGCGUCUUCAGUGUAAAUUCAACGGCAAACGUUUCCACUAGAAGUCUCUCUCAGCGUCUUCAGUGUAAAUUCAAUGGCAAACGUUUCCACUAGAAGUCUCUCUCAGCGUCUUCAGUGUAAAUUCAACGGCAAACGUUUCCACUAGAAGUCUCUCUCAGCGUCUUCAGUGUAAAUUCAACGGCAAACGUUUCCACUAGAAGUCUCUCUCAGCGUCUUCAGUGUAAAUUCAAUGGCAAACGUUUCCGCUAGAAGUCUCUCUCAGCGUCUUCAGUGUAAAUUCAAUGGCAAACGUUUCCACUAGAAGUCUCUCUCAGCGUCUUCAGUGUAAAUUCAACGGCAAACGUUUCCACUAGAAGUCUCUCUCAGCGUCUUCAGUGUAAAUUCAAUGGCAAACGUUUCCUCUAGAAGUCUCUCUCAGCGUCUUCAGUGUAAAUUCAACGGCAAACGUUUCCACUAGAAGUCUCUCUCAGCGUCUUCAGUGUAAAUUCAAUGGCAAACGUUUCCACUAGAAGUCUCUCUCAGCGUCUUCAGUGUAAAUUCAACGGCAAACGUUUCCACUAGAAGUCUCUCUCAGCGUCUUCAGUGUAAAUUCAACGGCAAACGUUUCCACUAGAAGUCUCUCUCAGCGUCUUCAGUGUAAAUUCAAUGGCAAACGUUUCCGCUAGAAGUCUCUCUCAGCGUCUUCAGUGUAAAUUCAAUGGCAAACGUUUCCACUAGAAGUCUCUCUCAGCGUCUUCAGUGUAAAUUCAAUGGCAAACGUUUCCGCUAGAAGUCUCUCAGCGUCUUCAGUGUAAAUUCAAUGGCAAACGUUUCCGCUAGAAGUCUUUGAAGACGCUGAGAAAGACUUCUAGUGGAAACGUUUGCUGUUGAAUUGAUGAAGUUUAUUUUCGUGUUUCUAAACAACUAACAAGGAAAUAAACAAACUAUCUGUAUUUAAUUAUUCUGUUUGCUUCUCUAUCAUAACUCUAAUGGUUUUUAUUUUCUUUCCAAAAUACUAAAAUGUUUUUUCAUGACUUUUAUAGUCAGCAAACAAGCCCCUCCCCCUUUUCCUGCAAGUUUGUUUAUGAUGUCAUUUCCUGAGGGGGAGGGGUUAGGGUGAUGGGGAGGGGUUUUCUCAGCGAUGGUUCAAUUAAAAACGAUCAAAAAAUAAAUCAUGUUAGAUUUGGUUUUUUUUUUGGUUUUGGUUCGUUAACUUUUAUUUGGUGAGGGGAAGAAAUGACGAGGAAAUUAAUUUUCUUUGUUUUAGGAAAAUAAAUGUGUUUCUAGAAA